rnacentral:tRNA from 1 species
CGAUUAGCUCAGUUGGUAGAGCAGCUGACUCUUAAUCAGCGGGUCGCAGGUUCGACCCCUGCAUCGUC